CGUUGGCUGAGCGGCAAAGCGCUUGUCUUCCGUACAGGGGUCCCGGGUUCGAAUCCUGAUG
rnacentral:tRNA from 1 species